rnacentral:lncRNA from 1 species
UAAAUCUAUUUAGGAAAAGAUGUUCACUACUUAGGAAUUAAAUAAUAAUGACAACUGCUAGGGAAAAUAGAAUUCGUUUUUUUAUACUACCAAUUACAAAUUAACGGGCCAACUAAAAAACAAUACGGAUUUACAUGUAUGAAUAUGACCAGAGUUGGAUAAAAUGCUAUUUAAAAAUCGAUUUUUUGCAGUUGUUACCCGAUUCAGGGAGGGUGUUACCUGUCUUAUAUAUGUUUUUAUUUACAAAAGCUGUCGUCCUCAUUAUUUUUUAUCAUCACUACGCCAUCAUAAAGUCAAUGGAGUCCAAAAGUAAAUUAUUGUUGUCCAAGAUUAAGGAAGAACGUGUGGGAAAGGAUAUAUUGCCUUAGACGAGACAACAGAUAGAUCCAGGCAUUACUUAUUUUUCCAUAGAUACGGAGCAUGAUGACUUGUACUCUGAACCCGAAAAACCCUCAUUAUGAUGACUCCGGACCAGAAAUACCCCAAGCAUGAUGAUGACUCGGACUUGACCUAAAUACUGAAAAGAUGGGGACUCAAAUACAGCUCUGAAUAUUGGAUCUAUACUCUUUAAAAAAAAAAAUUAUAUUGAGUAUUUACUAUUUAGAAUGAGUAAUUAAUAAUUAUUUAUGGAGUAUGAAGAGGAUCUAUAAUGAAGAUGCAAAAUAACUAAUGGGAAGUAUGAGUUUAGGUUUUAUUGAUGGUAACCUCGACGAAAAUUGUAGCGGUCUCAUUCAUCAGUACACAUUUAAGUUUAAUAUUUUCCCCUCCCUUAAACGAGACUACAGGUGGAUCAGGACAUUACUUAUUUUUCCAUAUACCGGGACCAUGAGGACUCGAAUUUUGCAUGAAAAUUGAAAAGAUGGUAUUUACUACAUGACCGAUACAGUUCGUGACUGAAUAUAAAAUGAUUAAUUAUUUAUGGAAUAUGAAGAGGAUCUAAAUGAAUAUGCAAGAUAAUUUAUGAAAACUACGAAUAUAUGUAGGUAGACAAGUGUAUAAUAUUAAAAAUAUAUCUGAAUAUUUGGUUUCUUAUAUUGAUUGUACUAUGUAUGUGUUAUUGAUGAUAACCUAUACGAAAAUUGUAGAGGCCUCAUUCAUCAGUUCAUAUUGAAGUUGUGCGUACAAGUUUCCCUAUAAAAAAAGGUCGUAUAUGACAUGAAUGGAUAACGUUAAGGCUGUUGACUUAUCUAUUGCAUCCCUGUUUUCCUCCAUACCUUUGAGACUGAAUUGAAAUGCUCGGCGUAGUAAUAAAUCGUUUUCGAUCACCAGAA